ACGCUGGCGGCAGGCUUAACACAUGCAAGUCGAACGGUAACAGGAGAAAGCUUGCUUUCUUGCUGACGAGUGGCGGACGGGUGAGUAAUGCUUGGGAAUCUGGCUUAUGGAGGGGGAUAACGACGGGAAACUGUCGCUAAUACCGCGUAGAGUCGAGAGACGAAAGUGCGGGACCGCAAGGCCGCAUGCCAUAGGAUGAGCCCAAGUGGGAUUAGGUAGUUGGUGGGGUAAUAGCCUACCAAGCCGACGAUCUCUAGCUGGUCUGAGAGGAUGACCAGCCACACCGGGACUGAGACACGGCCCGGACUCCUACGGGAGGCAGCAGUGGGGAAUAUUGCGCAAUGGGGGCAACCCUGACGCAGCCAUGCCGCGUGAAUGAAGAAGGCCUUCGGGUUGUAAAGUUCUUUCGGUAUUGAGGAAGGUUGUUGUGUUAAUAGCACGACAAAUUGACGUUAAAUACAGAAGAAGCACCGGCUAACUCCGUGCCAGCAGCCGCGGUAAUACGGAGGGUGCGAGCGUUAAUCGGAAUAACUGGGCGUAAAGGGCACGCAGGCGGACUUUUAAGUGAGGUGUGAAAUCCCCGGGCUUAACCUGGGAAUUGCAUUUCAGACUGGGAGUCUAGAGUACUUUAGGGAGGGGUAGAAUUCCACGUGUAGCGGUGAAAUGCGUAGAGAUGUGGAGGAAUACCGAAGGCGAAGGCAGCCCCUUGGGAAUGUACUGACGCUCAUGUGCGAAAGCGUGGGGAGCAAACAGGAUUAGAUACCCUGGUAGUCCACGCUGUAAACGCUGUCGAUUUGGGGAUUGGGCUUUAAGCUUGGUGCCCGAAGCUAACGUGAUAAAUCGACCGCCUGGGGAGUACGGCCGCAAGGUUAAAACUCAAAUGAAUUGACGGGGGCCCGCACAAGCGGUGGAGCAUGUGG
rnacentral:rRNA from 1 species